rnacentral:rRNA from 1 species
UACGGAGGGUGCGAGCGUUGUCCGGAAUCACUGGGCGUAAAGGGCGCGUAGGCGGCCUGAUAAGUAGGGGGGUGAAAUCUUGCGGCUUAAACCGCAAGGCUGCCUUCUAAACUGUCAGGCUAGAGCACAGUAGAGGCAGGUGGAAUUCCCGGUGUAGCGGUGGAAUGCGUAGAGAUCGGGAAGAACAUCAGUGGCGAAGGCGGCCUGCUGGGCUGUUGCUGACGCUGAGGCGCGACAGCGUGGGGGAGCAAACAGGGAUUAGAAA